GGUCAGGUGGUGUAGUUGGUUAUCACGUCAGUCUAACAUCUGCUUUCCAAAGGCAAAUGCGAACACUGAAGGUCUCCGGUUCGAACCCGGGCCAGAUCA